AUAAUACUUAUAUUAAAUAAACUGAUAAAUUUGAAACGUGGUUGAAUAACAUAUAACAAAAAUGACGUUAAUUAAUUUUUGUCUAUGAACAAAGAUAAUUCCUAAACGCAAGCGCAGAAAUAGAGUAUCGAUGGUAACAUAACCAAUAAAAUCAGACAAUCCUCAUAUAGAAACAAAUUGAAAUAUACUUAUGUGAUAUGAUUGUUACGUUGGUUUGUUAUUAGAUAUUAAGAACGUUAUAGAAAGAAUAUUUCAAAUAAUCCUAAAUCAUGUAUAUCUCAACAUUUUUACAUAUAUUUCUAUUUAGUUUAACGCUAGUUAUUAUUAACGCAGAAUUUUCUGCAGAUGAUUGUAAAAAAUUAGGUUUUAAUAAGGCUAACCUGUUAUGUUCAACUUGUGAUAAAUUCAAUAAAUAUAAUGUACCAGAAAUCUAUGACAAAUGCAAAGAAUGUUGUUUGAAGGAUGAUGAUUAUGAUGUAUCUGGCUUUAAACGAUAUCCAAAAGCAAUUCUUAAGGUUUGCACAUGUAAAUUUGGUGCAUAUCCUCAAAUACAAGCAUUUAUAAAAAGUGAUCGACCAAGUAAAUACAAAAAUUUGCAAAUAAGAUAUGUAAGAGGUUUAGAUCCAAUCAUUAAAUUGCUGGAUGCUGACAAUAAAGUAGAAGAUAUUCUUGAUAUACAUAAAUGGGAUACAGAUUCAAUUGACGAAUUUUUAGCAACACAUCUUUCUACUGAUUAGAAAAAGUGAGAAUAUACAUAAAAUAAGGAAUGAAUUAUUACAUAUGACAAAACAAUACUUGCAAUAUUUGUAUAUUUUAUAUCCAACAUUUUUUAUAUACAAACAUAUUGGAUAUAUUAAUGCGUUUUUCCUUUCUCUCUUUGAAACAAAUCGAAGAUAAAAGCAGUAAAUUGGUUGAAGUAUAUUUGGUUGAAGUACGUUUAUGUUAAGAGAUUGGAAUAAAAAAGAUGCAGUGCUGUUAUUUUUUAACUACAAAUUGGAUACGACGUGGUUUUGAUGAGCAUAAUAUAAUAUCUGCUAUUAUUUUAACGUCGUCCAGUUCAUUCACAGGUUCCAAAUAAAAGUAGUGCAAUAUGUAAGCUACCAUGAGAUUGAGUUCAACCAUUGCGAAUUUCUAACCAACAAAAAGAAAAAUAAUACAUUUAUAUUCAUCUAAUUUCGAUUUCUUGAUUCAACGCUUUAUCGAUGCAAUUUCUUGGUCCUACACUGAAUGGAAUGAAGGAAUAAAGAUUACAUUCUUUUGCAUUUUUCGAUUGAACCGGUUGGGAUUAAAUAAUUCUCUAGAAAUCAAUAUGAUUGCUUAUUCGAUUUUAAUGAUAAAACGAAAAAUUAUGUCAAAAUUAAAUAUAUCACAUACUCAGCUGCAGAUAUCGAGAUAUAUAACGAACUAUAAAAUGAACGCUUAGAUAUAAACGAAGUGAUUCUUUGAGACAUCUUUCCAAGUAAGAAAGUUUUCGAAGCAAUGGAAUAAUCAGUUUACAAUCAUUUUGUUGCAUAACCAUGUUCACUUCGUUCCUUAUACGUCCCUACAAAUCAAUAGAUAAUUUAUUAUUUACUAUAAAUGCAAAACGGAUCUCUUUUAAUCCAUGUUUAUUAAUUCUUUGGAACGAAAAUAUCACCUGAACAUCUUUGUGCUUUGCAAAAACAAGCAGAGCAAAGCACAACAUCAUUGCCCUAGUGUCGUGACCCUAUGGAGAUAUUUGUCCUAAAUUCGAUUACUCUUAUUAUUCUCGACGGUUUCUUUGGAAAUAAUCUGAUUCUCAUCCAUUUCUUCAACAUUUUCUAAAUAUUUCCCCUUAGUUUGUUCGUGAAAUAGUAUCCUUUCUGCUAUUAUCUAAAAUAAGAGUAAUAUUUUAAUAAAUCAAUAUAAUUUCGCAAUAUUCGGAUUAUCUGUGUUUGUUCAUUUAAAGGAAAAACUUUACUUUUUCGAAAAACCGUGAUGCGUUUUCAACAAUUCCUUUUGUUGCCUAUCACGUUGCAAUAAUGCAAAUAUAGUUUCGGAAUAGUAUCAAGGACUUGCUACUCUAAUAAACAAUAUAUAUUUUUGUAAAUUUACUUAAUUGGAAAUUGAAUUUAUUUCUAAUAAAAGAAUUAAUACUUACUUAUAGAUCGCAAUUCUGCCGAAAUCAUGAACGGCAUGGCGAUAUUUAGCUUCAAAUUCGCCCGUUCCUCUUAAAGAGAUUCCCAUAGCCGUUUCUACAAAUUAUUUUUUGUAAAUAAUUUUUUUAUUAUAAAGAUCAGUGAAUAAUGAAAUUUAAUUUAACUAACCGCAUAUCGCGUUUAAAGUAUGUACAGGUAAAAAUUCCUGUAAAUCUUUGAUAAUCGGUCCUCCUUUUCCUUCCUCUUUCAGUAAUGUUACGAGAUAUUGUGCCUCCUCGUUAAAAUUGACGACAAAAUGUUUAAGGAUAUUAAAAUGAAAGGUUGGUGUCAACAUUUUUCGUUGAUGUUGCCACUUUUUACCUGUUUAAUAGAACGUUUGAUUUAAAAUAUUACAAAAUAUAUUAAAUUUAUAUUUGUUAUAGUUAGUACCUGCACUAGUUAUUAAUCCGGUGGAAAGCUAAGGUUGUAAGAAUUUGUAAGGAAUAGUUUUUUCUAGAUUUGUGCUCUUCAAAAGUAUCUACGAUCGAAAUAUAUAUAUAUAUAUAUAUUCUGAUUUUCAUAAGAUGAUGUUCACAAAUAACGUUUAAAUUUCAAAAGAAGGAGAGAAAUAAAAAUUAACUCUAUUGUUGUCUUAUAAUUAUUUACCUCGACAUCUUCCGGAUGAAUUAUAGUUAUUAAUGAAUAGAAUAAUGACCACAAUCUGUUAAUUGGAGAAAAUUCCUUAUUAAUUUUCCAAAGUUUUUCUAGUACUUGUUCUGAAAUAUUUACCAAAUGUUUAUAUUGAAUGACAACUGCAUCAAGGAAUUGAAAGUAAACAGAUUAAAUCGUUUCGGUCAAAUUAUUUCCGAUGAAGUUUACUAUUGUCAAUUUGAAGAUGAUGUAAAUUUCCUAUUAUGGUCCAACAAUUCGACUAGAAAUAUUUCCUAUUCUGCCAAAUCUUGUAAAGUAAGGCGAUAAUAAUAGUAGUGUAAAGAACCCUGAUAUGAUAAGGAAGAACAUCUUAUCAAUCUGUGGAAUAGAAAAAAAAUUCUAAUAUAGAUUUCUUCAAUUAUAUUAUGCAUAUAAUGAUAUUAUUAUAGUAAUUAUUGAAUAUGCAAAUAAGUUUGAUGACACACAGAUACUGUAAUAUUCGCUUCGUGUGUUAUAUAAAGUAGGUAGAUUAUAUUUUCCGAUAAAAGUUAUAAACGUAUAUAGAAUUUUCAUAUUUGCUAUAGAUUUAAUUUACGAGUACAAAAAUGGAACGCAUCAAAGCGAUGGUGGAUUUAUGUAUAAGCGGUAAUAAGAUUGAUGUGACUCGUUUGGUUAAGAUACGAAGCUUUUUCAUGACAAAUAUAAAUUUAAUUUUACAUUUGAUGGCCGAUGUAUAAUUUUUAUUUCUAUAUUUGCGAUUCUAAAUAAAAUUUGUUAGUGUAUUU